CCCACAUUCCUCGAAGUCUAGUUGUUACCACUGAACGCAGCAAGUCAAGAUGGUGAGGAUGGCUUACUUCUCAAAUCUCUGAAAGACAUUGUGACCCCUGUUGUCCUCACUGGUUUGCAAAGGGGUUGGAAAAGCACAAGUGGAGUCGCCAGGGGUUACCUGUUGAUGAAUCUGUCGGUCAGUCGCCCUCGGAGAUCUACUACACGGAAGAGCCAGUGCCGCUCGCCCAAUCAGAAAUUGCUAUGCUC